CACGUAGUUAGCCGGUGCUUAUUCUUCAGGUACCGUCAUUACUCCGAGGUAUUAGCCCGGAGCGUUUCUUCCCUGACAAAAGCGGUUUACAACCCGAAGGCCUUCUUCCCGCACGCGGCAUGGCUGGAUCAGGCUUGCGCCCAUUGUCCAAAAUUCCCCACUGCUGCCUCCCGUAGGAGUCUGGGCCGUGUCUCAGUCCCAGUGUGGCUGGUCGUCCUCUCAGACCAGCUACAGAUCGUCGCCUUGGUGGGCUUUUACCCCGCCAACAAGCUAAUCUGACAUCGGCCGCUCCGAUAGCGCAAGGUCUUGCGAUCCCCUGCUUUCACCCGUAGGUCGUAUGCGGUAUUAGUCCGGCUUUCGCCGGGCUAUCCCCCACUACUGGGCACGUUCCGAUGUAUUACUCACCCGUUCGCCACUCGCCACCAGGAUUGCUCCCGUGCUGCCGUUCGACUUGCAUGUGUAAGGCAUGCCGCCAGCGUUCAAUCUGAGCCAGGAUCAAACUCUC
rnacentral:rRNA from 1 species